GAUGAACGCUGGCGGCGUGCCUAAUACAUGCAAGUCGAGCGAACAGACGAGGAGCCUGCUCCUCUGACGUUAGCGGCGGACGGGUGAGUAACACGUGGAUAACCUACCUAUAAGACUGGGAUAACUUCGGGAAACCGGAGCUAAUACCGGAUAAUAUAUUGAACCGCAUGGUUCAAUAGUGAAAGACGGUUUUGCUGUCACUUAUAGAUGGAUCCGCGCCGCAUUAGCUAGUUGGUAAGGUAACGGCUUACCAAGGCAACGAUGCGUAGCCGACCUGAGAGGGUGAUCGGCCACACUGGAACUGGGACACGGUCCAGACUCCUACGGGAGGCAGCGGUAGGGACUCUUCCGCAAUGGGCGAAAGACUGACGGAGCAACGCCGCGUGAAUGAUGAAGGUCUUCGGAUCGUAUAACUCUGUUAUUAGGGAAGAACAAAUGUGUAAGUAACUAUGCACGUCUUGACGGUACCUAAUCAGAAAGCCACGGCUAACUACGUG
rnacentral:rRNA from 1 species